ACUCCUACGGGAGGCAGCAGUGAGGAAUAUUGGUCAAUGGAGGGAACUCUGAACCAGCCAUCCCGCGUGUAGGAAGACGGCCUUAUGGGUUGUAAACUACUUUUAUACAGGAAGAAACGUACCCUCGUGAGGGUGCCUGACGGUACUGUAGGAAUAAGCACCGGCUAACUCCGUGCCAGCAGCCGCGGUAAUACGGAGGGGUGCGAGCGUUAUCCGGAUUUAUUGGGGUUUAAAGGGGUCCGUAGGCGGAUUAAUAAGUCAGUGGUGAAAUCCCAUCGCUUAACGAUGGAACUGCCAUUGAUACUGUUAGUCUUGAAUGAGGGUGCAGUGGUUGGAAUGUGUAGUGUAGCGGUGAAAUGCAUAGAUAUUACACAGAACACCGAUUGCGAAGGCAGAUCACUAACCCUAAAUUGACGCUGAGGGACGAAAGCGUGGGGAGCGAACAGGAUUAGAUACCCUGGUAGACUGUCA
rnacentral:rRNA from 1 species